AGCGGUGGAGCAUGUGGUUUAAUUCGAAGCAACGCGAAGAACCUUACCAGGUCUUGACAUCCUUUGACCACUCUAGAGAUAGAGCUUCCCCUUCGGGGGCAAAGUGACAGGUGGUGCAUGGUUGUCGUCAGCUCGUGUCGUGAGAUGUUGGGUUAAGUCCCGCAACGAGCGCAACCCUUAUUGUUAGUUGCCAUCAUUCAGUUGGGCACUCUAGCAAGACUGCCGGUGACAAACCGGAGGAAGGUGGGGAUGACGUCAAAUCAUCAUGCCCCUUAUGACCUGGGCUACACACGUGCUACAAUGGGAAGUACAACGAGUUGCGAAGUCGCGAGGCUAAGCUAAUCUCUUAAAGCUUCUCUCAGUUCGGAUUGCAGGCUGCAACUCGCCUGCAUGAAGCCGGAAUCGCUAGUAAUCGCGGAUCAGCACGCCGCGGUGAAUACGUUCCCGGGCCUUGUACACACCGCCCGUCACACCACGAGAGUUUGUA
rnacentral:rRNA from 1 species